UUUCAUUUGUUAGGUUUUGGCAUUUGGGGGAGAUAGGGAGAAAAGAGCUUCUUCUCUCAAGCCGCCGUCGAUCUCGGUAUGGAGUGAGGAGGGUCGCCGGCUAGGAAGUCACACGGGAAAGACUCCCCAAUCACUAUUGCAAUGUCGACGACAACCGUUGGGCACGGUGGGACGCGGCCAGGUGAGCCACAGUGGUGGCUUGAGACCUCAAAUUCGCAGGUGAUGCGGAUUCGGCAGUAUAUGGGUUCAAAACCCUUCGGUUCAUCAUUCAUCAUCUCCUAAAUUCUAACAAAUUAUGUUUGUAGUUAUUUACAAGUGAAUAUGCAAAAAGCAAUGGACUUGAAAACUACGAUGAAGAC